GCCCGCCUAGCUCAAUCGGAUAGAGCGUCAGACUCUUACGUCGAGUUCAUUAGGCAAAACGGGCGAUCUGAAGGCUGCGAGUUCGACCCUCGCGGUGGGCU